AUUGAACGCUGGCGGCAGGCCUAACACAUGCAAGUCGAGCGGAGCGGCGGACGGGUGAGUAAUGCCUAGGAAUCUGCCUGGUAGUGGGGGAUAACGUCCGGAAACGGGCGCUAAUACCGCAUACUAUCAGAUGAGCCUAGGUCGGAUUAGCUAGUUGGUGGGGUAAAGGCCUACCAAGGCGACGAUCCGUAACUGGUCUGAGAGGAUGAUCAGUCACACGAGAACUGAGACACGGGCCAGACUCGUACGUGAGGCAGGAGUGGGGAAUGUUGGACAAUGGUAGAAAGACUGAUCCAGCCAUGACUCGGGUGUGAAGAAGGUCUUCGGAUUGUAAAGCACUUUAAGUUGGGAGGCGUUACCAACAGAAUCAGCACCGGCUAACUUCGUGCCAGCAGCCGCGGUAAUUC
rnacentral:rRNA from 1 species